UACAGAGGGGGGCAAGCGUUGUUCGGAAUUACUGGGCGUAAAGGGCGCGUAGGCGGCCUUCUAAGUCGAACGUGAAAUCCCUGGGCUCAACCCAGGAACUGCGUCCGAUACUGAAAGGCUUGAAUCCGGGAGAGGGAUGCGGAAUUCCAGGUGUAGCGGUGAAAUGCGUAGAUAUCUGGAGGAACACCGGUGGCGAAGGCGGCAUCCUGGGACCGGUAUUGACGCUGAGGCGCGAAAAGCCAGG
rnacentral:rRNA from 1 species